AAUGAGUAGAGACGGUGCCCUGCCAGUAGUUGCUGGAAGCAGAGGAGAAGGGAGCUGUAGGAUAUUGGCAUGUGGAGAAGCACAGAGAUAUUCCUACUCUGGCUGACAGUUUCUAAUAAAGAUAUUUUUAUCGUAAUUGAAAA